rnacentral:rRNA from 1 species
GCUCUUUAGGGUUAACGCCCAGAAGAGCCGCAGUGAAUAGGCCCAAGCGACUGUUUAUCAAAAACACAGGUCUCUGCUAAACCGUAAGGGGAUGUAUAGGGGCUGACGCCUGCCCGGUGCUGGAAGGUUAAGAGGAGUGGUUAGCUUCUGCGAAGCUACGAAUCGAAGCCCCAGUAAACGGCGGCCGUAACUAUAACGGUCCUAAGGUAGCGAAAUUCCUUGUCGGGUAAGUUCCGACCCGCACGAAAGGCGUAACGAUUUGGGCACUGUCUCAACGAGAGACUCGGUGAAAUCAUAGUACCUGUGAAGAUGCAGGUUACCCGCGACAGGACGGAAAGACCCCGUGGAGCUUUACUGUAGCCUGAUAUUGAAAUUCGGCACAGCUUGU